UGAAAGCAACAGCCAAUGACAGUACAGAAGCGAAGUUAAGCGUGAGAAAGCCAGUCCAAAGAAAGCCGCUCUUCAGUCUCAUCAGGAGCUAGAAAAUUGGCGUCAGAAAUCCAGUGUGGAAAAUUCUGACAGCCCCUGGAAGGAGGUUAUUGAAUUCAUUGGAGAAAGAGUGCUGUCUUGAAUUUGUUGCUCUUCUGUGCAGUGCGUCCAACAUUCUUGAAUGCCUACUUACAGCAAGGCCUGGGCAAGAUACUUUAGAAGAAACUUGGAAUACAAAUCAACCAUCUGUGACGAAUUCACUACCCAGGACAUGCUAGGAGAGGUAAGCACAUGAAAAUUAGGAGCAAUUCAAAACAGGAGAAGAAAAGUCAAGAGAAAGUAUUUGUUGCAUGUGUGAAAUUCAUCAUGCAAACAUCUAGGAUGUUCUGAGGAGAGCGAUCAUUUCAAGCUGGGAGUCCAUCUGAGCCCCCUCUCUAAGACGGAGGAAGAUUUGGAAAAGCAGAAA